AUGAACGCUGGCGGCGUGCCUAAUACAUGCAAGUCGAGCGCACAGACGAGGAGCUUGCUCCUCUGACGUUAGCGGCGGACGGGUGAGUAACACGUGGAUAACCUACCUAUAAGACUGGGAUAACUUCGGGAAACCGGAGCUAAUACCGGAUAAUAUAUUUAACCGCAUGGUUCAAUAGUGAAAGACGGUUUUGCUGUCACUUAUAGAUGGAUCCGCGCCGCAUUAGCUAGUUGGUAAGGUAACGGCUUACCAAGGCGACGAUGCGUAGCCGACCUGAGAGGGUGAUCGGCCACACUGGAACUGAGACACGGUCCAGACUCCUACGGGAGGCAGCAGUAGGGAAUCUUCCGCAAUGGGCGAAAGCCUGACGGAGCAACGCCGCGUGAGUGAUGAAGGUCUUCGGAUCGUAAAACUCUGUUAUUAGGGAAGAACAAAUGUGUAAGUAACUAUGCACGUCUUGACGGUACCUAAUCAGAAAGCCACGGCUAACUACGUG
rnacentral:rRNA from 1 species